rnacentral:rRNA from 1 species
GACGAACGCUAGCGGCGUGCUUAACACAUGCAAGUCGAACGGGAAGGCCCUGCUUUUGUGGGGUGCUCGAGUGGCGAACGGGUGUGUAACACGUGUGUCACCUGCCCUUGACUUUGGGAUAACUUCAGGAAACUGGGGCUAAUACCGGAUAGGAGCACCUCCUGCAUGGUGGGGGUUGGAAAGUUUCGGCGGUUGGGGUUGGAGUCGCGGCCUAUCAGUAUGUUGGUGGGGUAGUGGCUUACCAAGGCUUUGACGGGUAGCCGGCCUGAGAGGGUGACCGGCCACAUUGGGACUGAGAUACGGCCCAGACUCCUACGGGAGGCAGCAGUGGGGAAUAUUGCACAAUGGGCGGAAGCCUGAUGCAGCAACGCCGCGUGCGGGAUGACGGCCUUCGGGUUGUAAACCGCUUUCGCCUGUGACGAUGCGUGAGUGACGGUAAUGGGUAAAGAAGCACCGGCUAACUACGUG